UACAGAUUUAUAAAUAUGCUCCGGAGACAUGAUGAACAUUUUUCUAAAGACAUUAAAGAUUCUGGUCAUGAGGGAGCCGUCCAACAGGAGGAACAUGAGGAUAGAGAGAGAAGAUACCAUAUUUCUCUCCCAGAUAUUUGCACAGACAACGUUAAAAAUACUUGCUUUCAACAAUCUGGAUUUUUAAACAAUACAAUAUCAUUUGCUUCUCAUGUCGUAAAAUGUAGCUCUCCUAUUUCGAGCUUUGAUGAAUCCAUACCUACUGGUCAACUCACAACACAUUCCCGAAUGCAUAUAUCCCAAGGUCAACACACAAUAGCUCCUAUUUCGGAACAUAGUUUUUACAAUGUGCCUGAAUAUAUUUCGGAGCAGGAAAAGCAUAUUUUUUCAGAUUCUGAGCGGUUCUUAAGGUCAAAAGAAAAAGAAGUAUGCAGUAAUGAAAAUGAUUAUGUACAUGAUGAAUUUACCAUGAGGAAAUACUAUCACCCUCUCUUUGCGCACGGUGUUUGCCGGUGGCCUGGUUGUGAAAUGGACUUAGAAGACAUCACAUCGUUUGUAAAGCAUCUUAAUUCGGAACAUGGAUUGGAUGACCGGUCAACUGCUCAAGCUCGUGUACAAAUGCAAGUUGUUUCUCAAUUGGAGUCUCACCUUCAAAAAGAAAGAGAUCGCUUGCAAGCUAUGAUGCACCACUUGUAUCUUUCUAAGCAACUUUUAUCGCCGACAAAGUCGGAUCGAAAGGAUACUUCCGGAAAAGAUGGAAAUUAUUGCAGGAUGACGAGUCCCCAUACAAUGACUAGCUUAGGACGAACAAUUCGACAAUCAAAUUCUCCGAGCUCUAUUAACCUUCCCAUGGUGAAUUCAGCAAACUUGUGCACAAUAAAGAAAAGAAGUAUGGAUAAAACAGCGUUUUCAAUAAAUGGUGGCUUGCCAUAUAUGCUAGAGAGAGCUGGGCUAGAUGUACAACAAGAAAUACAGCGAAACAGAGAAUUCUACAAGAAUGCUGAUGUACGACCUCCUUUUACUUAUGCGUCUCUCAUAAGACAGGCUAUCAUUGAUUCUCCAGACAAACAAUUAACACUGAACGAAAUUUAUAACUGGUUUCAAAAUACCUUUUGUUACUUUCGUCGUAACGCAGCUACUUGGAAGAUUCAAGGGAAAAUUCGCCAUCGAGCGGGCGCUUUGUGACCACCACCAAACGAAGAUCAUAUGUUUCUUCGGAUCUAUUUCGUUGGAGGUUCAACAAUAGAACUAGACAGGCGUUGUGCAAUUUUUACUGUGACUAAAAGUAAAAUGAUACACCAAUUGCUAAAUCUUCUGCAUGAGCAUAAUGAAUUGGUCAGAUUGUUUAAAACCGUAUUGGAUGCAAUGCAUUCUGACGACCACAAAACAAUUAACAAUUGCACCGUGUAUACGAGACUCAUCGGUCAUAUACACAUUGGUGUACUGUUGUGGAGAGGAUCGCUAUCACUUAAAUAUAAAGACGACAGACGACAAAAGAGAAGAAACGAAUAAGGUCAGCGCAAUCAAUUUUUAAGCGUAUUGAUUGAUGAAUCGGCAAGAUGUUGACAGCUAUGCAGAGAAUACAAAUUUUGGACACAUGUGCUAGAUGGAGACGUCGAGAAACGCCAUGAAAUUUGGCAACCGCUGAACCACGUUUAAGCGGUCGCCCAGCAGCGGCAGCGACGUAUAGGAGAAAAUCGGCAAAAACGCGACCACAUUGUCAACGCAUAACCACGAGCGGCUCACGAGAAAAUAAAUCAGCAACAUUGCGACUACGUUGUCACAGCAUUGCCACGCGCGGCUCACGGGACAAAAUAAUCGGCAACAGCGCACCGACGCGCCCGCCGGAAACAACAGCAGCGUACACAUGUUAGUGUUUGUGUGUAUGCUAUUCUGUGUGGCGCGCGUAAAAAUCAUUUAAAUAGCUUCUUGACUCUAUCAUUACCUUUAAGUGGUUGCGACGAUCAGAAGCGAUUUUUUCAUUGGAGUUCCGUGAGCAAUUUAACUAAAUUCAUUUCAUACGCAACUUUCAUUGCGAAAACAAUACCUUUGCCAUAUAUCAAUAAACUGGCGAUUGCUUUACCGUUUUACCCGUCUGCUCCGCAUCAUAGUUUUCCUCUUUCAUAUUGCCCUUUAACUGCAGGGAUAUUAGUAGUUUGUCAUACAUUUUAAUGCAAAUAAAAGACUAAUAGUGGCAGGUUUUUUAAAUGUUUUGCUAAACAUUAAUAACUCACUG